AUGGACGCCUCCGCCACCGGCGCCGUCGCCAAGGCGAAGAAGUAUGUGGUGGGGCGCAAGCUCGGCGGCGGCCCCAGGAAGAAGGCGGUGGCGCGCUCCGUCAAGGCCGGGCUGCAGUUCCCCGUCGGCCGCAUCGGGCGCUUCCUCAAGAAGGGCCGCUACGCGCAGCGGGUCGGCAUGGGCGCCCCCGUCUACCUCGCCUCCGUCCUCGAGUACCUCGCCGCCGAGCUUCUUGAGCUGGCCGGGAACGCCGCCAAGGACAACAAGAAGUCCCGCAUCAUCCCGCGCCACCUGCUGCUCGCCAUCCGGAACGACCAGGAGCUUGGCAAGCUGCUCGCCGGCGUCACCAUCGCGCACGGCGGCGUCCUGCCCAACAUCAACCCCGUGCUGCUCCCCAAGAAGACGGCGGAGAAGGAGCCCAAGUCUCCCAAGAAGGCCGCCAAGUCCCCCAAGAAGGCUUAG
rnacentral:rRNA from 1 species